GACGAACGCUGGCGGCGUGCUUAACACAUGCAAGUCGAACGGAAAGGCCCUGCUUUUGUGGGGUGCUCGAGUGGCGAACGGGUGAGUAACACGUGAGUAACCUGCCCUUGACUUUGGGAUAACUUCAGGAAACUGGGGCUAAUACCGGAUAGGAGCUCCUGCUGCAUGGUGGGGGUUGGAAAGUUUCGGCGGUUGGGGAUGGACUCGCGGCUUAUCAGCUUGUUGGUGGGGUAGCGGCUUACCAAGGCUUUGACGGGUAGCCGGCCUGAGAGGGUGACCGGCCACAUUGGGACUGAGAUACGGCCCAGACUCCUACGGGAGGCAGCAGUGGGGAAUAUUGCACAAUGGGCGGAAGCCUGAUGCAGCAACGCCGCGUGCGGGAUGACGGCCUUCGGGUUGUAAACCGCUUUCGCCUGUGACGAAGCGUGAGUGACGGUAAUGGGUAAAGAAGCACCGGCUAACUACGUG
rnacentral:rRNA from 1 species